AUGGAAACCACAGAAGAGGGAAAGCUCAACAUUGUGGAACAUCUGACACUUAUGGACUUCCUUCAAAACCUAACUGAGAAGCAAUGGAGGGGGAUUCGUGAGGGCAUGUUUGACCCGCUGACAAAACAACAGCUUGCCGGCUUGUGUCUGAGGAUUGUCCAGUUUUUAUCGGACAAGCUGAUGCAGAUCAUCAUCCCAGGUCUUUACGAACUACUGGGCAUCCAAGAUGCUGCCUCCUCUCCAUUGUCACAGAGAUCUCUCACAGCGUCACUCACCAGUCUGUUAGACGAUAAGGUUAACACCAAGUCCCGCGUGAGAUUUACUGAGGCUGGUGUACCUAAGAGGCCAGGCAGUCGAAAGUCUUACAAUAGCUUUCGCAUCCCGACUCCCUACCCUUCCU
rnacentral:lncRNA from 13 species